rnacentral:pre_miRNA from 1 species
CACCACGAGUGGAUGAAGCUGCCAGCAUGAUCUGAUCAUCCCUUGGAUCUGUGUGUCAUGGACCUCCGCAGGAGAUAAAUCAGGUCAUCUGGCAGUUUCAUCUGCUGAUGGG